rnacentral:ncRNA from 1 species
CGGCCUGAGGUCGGACGAGGCUACCCGCUGAAUUUAAGCAUAUUACUAAGCGGAGGAAAAGAAACUAACGAGGAUUCCCUCAGUAACGGCGAGUGAAGCGGGACGAGCCCAGCGCCGAAUCCGGCCGCUUAUGGAGCGGACGGAAUUGUGGCGUAUGGAAUUCGCUUCGAGCGCGGACCGGCUGCCCACGUCCUUCUGAUCGAGGCUUCAUCCCAUAGCGGGAUGUCACGGCCCUUGGCGGCGGCUGGCCCGGGCUCUCGGUGUCUUCCCGGAGUCGGGUUGUUUGGGAAUG